GAUGAACGCUGGCGGCGUGCUUAACACAUGCAAGUCGAGCGAAGCGCCUUGAAGUCUUCGGACCAAGAGGUGACUGAGCGGCGGACGGGUGAGUAACGCGUGGGUAACCUGCCUCAUACGAGGGGGAUAACAGUUAGAAAUGGCUGCUAAUACCGCAUAAGCGCACAGCAUCGCAUGAUGUCGUGUAGAAAAACCUCCGGUAGGUAUGAGAUCGGACCCCGCGUCUGAUUAGGUAGUUGGCGGGGUAACGGCCCACCAAGCCGACGAUCAGUAGCCGACCUGAGAGGGUGACC
rnacentral:rRNA from 1 species